CGGUCGCCGCGGUUCGCCGCC
rnacentral:miRNA from 1 species